rnacentral:tRNA from 1 species
UUGAAGGAUGGCGGAACUGGUAAACGCAAUGGACUCAAAAUCCAUCUGAUUGAUGAAGUAGCCUGCUUCUAAAACAGGGCUUCCAAA